UACGUAGGGUGCAAGCGUUAAUCGGAAUUACUGGGCGUAAAGCGUGCGCAGGCGGUUGUGCAAGACCGAUGUGAAAUCCCCGGGCUUAACCUGGGAACUGCGUUUGAAACUACAAGGCUAGAGUGUGGCAGAGGGGGGGUGGAAUUCCACGUGUAGCAGUGAAAUGCGUAGAGAUGUGGAGGAACACCGAUGGCGAAGGCAGCCCCCUGGGUUAACACUGACGCUCAGGCACGAAAGCGUGGGGAGCAAACAGG
rnacentral:rRNA from 1 species